AAAUGUUACCGCCUCUAUGUCAGUUACACAACCGGAAGCAGAUAGUGCCACUCUUCCCAAAGACUAUUCUUAGCUGACAAAUGUGGUUGGAGGUACUCAACCGAGAUACAAUCCUUCAACAGGCCCCUGUCCCAAAGAUUUCCUGAGAUGUUGCCAGGAGCCCAUAGUGGCCUAAAAAACGGAGAACUUGAAAUCAGAGUCUGUGUGUGUUGGGUUGAACGCCAGGCCCGCGUCCCGAAAGGUAGGCCUCUCCUCCUCCCCAGACCAGACCUGGCAAGGACUUCCCUCACACUUUGUUCUGCCCGAGGGUGCUGGGCUUCGAGGUGUGGGAAGAGUGGGUGGGGGAAUUCUAGUUCCAGUGAAGCAGUUGAAAGAAAGUCAUUUCCACAAAAUCUAGCUCAAAAUAGAGGAAGCUGUUCUAUACUUACCCAAACUUUGUCCCCUGCAAGCUCACCUCCCCACCCCACACGCAGGGGAGUGGGGCAGUGGCUCCCCGGAUUUUCCUUGAGAUCUGGUGCUGUGUGCUGCCCCAUGGGCUUACAUUGUCACAAAUCCUCCCACUCUGAGCAAGCACGCCCACCACCUCAUUGUGGAUCUUCUUCCCCGUAGGCAGUUUCCAGAGUUUUUCAGGAAUCGGGCUACAGUUUGGAAGUUUAUUUACCAGUGAAGUGAAUUUCUCUCUGCUCUCCUUCCUCUCCUCCCAGAACCCAUCUGAGAAAGUUACAGAAGGCAUCUCCGAUUCACAACACGCCCCCCGCCAACCCCCCACUGAAUAACACGUCGUCUGGCAACAGGAGGCGUUUGAUUACAUUUGGAUGGAACGCCUGCAUCAACUCCAGUUGUCCCCGAAUUGGAACUGCUGGGCCUCACGUGCUGCAGCCAACAGUUUGCCUUCACCCACUCCCCUCUCCGAAAUGAACCUUUCUCUGGGAAAACAAGAAACCUACGUGCCAUCCUGGGUGAGAGACGAACAAUGGCUGCGUCCCAGCAUCGCAUCCCAAGCGUGACAGGCAAGA
rnacentral:lncRNA from 1 species